GACAGAGGGGGCAAGCGUUGCUCGGAAUUACUGGGCGUAAAGGGCGCGUAGGCGGGAUGGCAAGUCGGUCGUGAAAUCCUUCGGCUCAACCGAAGAACGUCGAUCGAUACUGCUGUUCUUGAGGGUUGCAGAGGAGGUUGGAAUUCUCGGUGUAGCAGUGAAAUGCGUAGAUAUCGAGAGGAACAUCAGUGGCGAAAGCGAAUCUCUGGGCGACACCUGACGCUGAGGCACGAAAGCCAGGGGAGCAAACGGG
rnacentral:rRNA from 1 species